GAUGAAGAACGUAGCGAAAUGCGAUAGGUAAUGUGAAUUGCAGAAUUCAGUGAAUCAUCGAGUCUUUGAACGCACAUUGCGCCCUUUGGUAUUCCUUAGGGCAUGCCUGUUCUAGCGUCACUACACACCUUAUCACAAUAUUUGUGGUCUUGGCAGGAGUGAAUUGCUGGUCUAUGGAAGUAUUCCAGCAGUACACAAUGCUAAAAAAUAUGGGAAGGUUACCAGAUAUGAACAACAGACUUUGUAAAUGGUUGUAGGACCUAGAUCAGUCACAAGUCAUGUCUGGUCCCUUACCUUAAGGACCCCCAUCCUAGAUGAACUAUGGGUUGACCUCGGAUCAGGUAGGAAUACCCGCUGAACUUAAGCAUAUCAAUAAGCGGAGGA
rnacentral:misc_RNA from 1 species